AUGUCUCGUUUGUUUAUUUAUGUAGCUGAACGUUCGAUAAGUGUUUCAGGUUUGUGUGUGAAUUGAAGAUGGCCUGAAAAGAAGAGUGGUAGUUGUGUUAUUAUUUUGUCCCUUUUGCUAUUUACAGUUAAUAGUGAUGAUGAACUGAUGAGUAGUAGUAGUAGUAGUAGUUGGGGCUUCUUUAUUUUUGUACCAAACACAUUGAUUUGUUCGUGGGGGAAUGUUCUAGUGUAGCCUCUCAAUUCUCCAAUCUUCAAAACAUUAAAUCCUUGUAAAUAUGUCGUUUUAACCAUCAAGAGUCCGGAGGUGUUAUUUCCAGCUCAAUGAGUCAAUGUUGGUCCCAUUUUUAUAAUUCAUAUUGUUUCUAGAUAUAUCAAAUUUGGUCUUUGUAAAUUUUAUUAAAUUUCAGUUUAAGAUUUUUAUUUUAAUAACAUUGAUUAAUUAUUUUUUAUACUCUUGAGUCUUGUCAUAUUUUGUUAACCCAUUUAAUUGUUUAACAGGCCUACAAAAAAUAGUUUAUAUCACAGCAUUUAUUAUACUAAAGAACUCAUAAAAAUGAGUUUACUGUCAGCUUUUAAAUACACAUUACAUAUCACUAUGAUUAAUAAAUAUUAUAUUUAAUUAUUCUUUUGAAUAACAUAAAACAUUGAUUAAAAUUAAAUAUGUUAUACUUUGGUCUUUUUACUACACCAACCUAAAAAACUACAAAAAAAAAAUCACAAUGCAACCAGUAGGUUGUGAUAAUACUAAUUUAAUUCAAAUAUGUAAUAAAAUACAAAAUACAUCGUAUUUAAAUAUCUAACUACAAAAUAUUUUUAAGUAAAAUAAUAUUUUGCAAAUCUGAUAUGAUAUUUUUCGAAUGUUUAUGCAGCAUGCAUUCCUGUAAGUCAAAUAAAGAUUUGCAUUUUGUACACAAACAUGAUAUCUAAAAGACAGUCAAAUGAAUGACAACAUCAAACG
rnacentral:lncRNA from 1 species